UACGUAGGGUGCGAGCGUUGUCCGGAAUUAUUGGGGCGUAAAGAGCUUGUAGGCGGUUUUGUCGCGUCUGCUGUGAAAAUCCGGGGCUCAACCCCGGACUUGCAGUGGGUACGGGCAGACUAGAGUGUGGUAGGGGAGACUGGAAUUCCUGGUGUAGCGGUGAAAUGCGCAGAUAUCAGGAGGAACACCGAUGGCGAAGGCAGGUCUCUGGGCCACUACUGACGUGAGAAGCGAAAGCUGGGG
rnacentral:rRNA from 1 species